ACGCUGGUUUAGCUCAGUGGUUACUUCAACCGAAAUCCCGUUUCAUGGUCCGCGGGCCAGAAGUACUAACCACGGGCGCUGUCCCACGUUUUA
rnacentral:vault_RNA from 1 species